rnacentral:rRNA from 1 species
UACGUAGGGGGCAAGCGUUGUCCGGAUUUAUUGGGCGUAAAGAGCGUGUAGGCGGCCAAACAGGUCAGCUGUGAAAACUCGAGGCUCAACCUCGAGACGUCGGUUGAAACCGUUUGGCGUAGAGUCCGGAAGAGGAGAGUGGAAUUCCCGGUGUAGCGGUGAAAUGCGCAGAUAUCAGGAAGAACACCCGUGGCUAAGGCGGCUCUCUAGUACGGUACUGACGCUGAGACGCGAAAGCGUGGGGAGCGAACAGG